GAUGAACGCUGGCGGCGUGCCUAAUACAUGCAAGUCGAGCGAACAGACGAGGAGCUUGCUCCUUUGACGUUAGCGGCGGACGGGUGAGUAACACGUAGGUAACCUACCUAUAAGACUGGGAUAACUUCGGGAAACCGGAGCUAAUACCGGAUAAUAUUUCGAACCGCAUGGUUCGAUAGUGAAAGAUGGCUUUGCUAUCACUUAUAGAUGGACCCGCGCCGUAUUAGCUAGUUGGUAAGGUAACGGCUUACCAAGGCAACGAUACGUAGCCGACCUGAGAGGGUGAUCGGCCACACUGGAACUGAGACACGGUCCAGACUCCUACGGGAGGCAGCAGUAGGGAAUCUUCCGCAAUGGGCGAAAGCCUGACGGAGCAACGCCGCGUGAGUGAUGAAGGUCUUCGGAUCGUAAAACUCUGUUAUUAGGGAAGAACAAACGUGUAAGUAACUGUGCACGUCUUGACGGUACCUAAUCAGAAAGCCACGGCUAACUACGUG
rnacentral:rRNA from 1 species